UAUCUCUGUAGAGUCUGCAUAUCAAUAAGCGGAGGAAAAGAAACUAACAAGGAUUCCCUUAGUAACGGCGAGUGAAGCGGGAAGAGCUCAAAUUUGAAAUCUUCAAGGCUCUACCUUGACGAAUUGUAGUUUAAAGAAGUGUUUUCUGUUAGAUGAGUAGCAAAAGUUCCUUGGAAUGGGACAUCAUAGAGGGUGAGAAUCCCGUAUUUGGUUAUUCAUUCUAGCUUUGUGAUACACUUUCAAAGAGUCGGAUUGUUUGGGAAUGCAGUCCAAAAUGGGUGGUAAAUUUCAUCUAAAGCUAAAUAUUGGCGAGAGACCGAUAGCGAACAAGUACCGUGAGGGAAAGAUGAAAAGAACUUUGAAAAGAGAGUUAAACAGUACGUGAAAUUGUCAAAAGGGAAGCGUUUGACACCAGUGUUGUUUUUCCGAAAAUCAAUUACGAAUGGCUUGAUUUUGUGUUGUAUUGACCUUAUCAGCUUUCUUCACUUUUUUCGAGUCUUUCUUAAUAGCACUUUUCGGUUAACAAGUCAACAUCAAUUUCUUUUGUUGUAAAAGAGUAUUCGGAAGGUGGCUUUCUUUUCGGAGAAAGUGUUUAUAGCCCUAUACUUCUACAAUCGGAGAGAUUGAGGUCUGCAGCGUAGAUCCUUCGGGGUUAGAUACACUUGUGCUAAGUUGUAGCUUUUCAUAGACAACUUGUUGACUAUGUUUAGUCAUGCGGCUUACUCGCUUGUGCUAUUUUACCUACGCUUAGGAUGUUGACUGAUAUGUAGUCGUA
rnacentral:rRNA from 1 species